AUUGAACGCUGGCGGCAGGCCUAACACAUGCAAGUCGAGCGAGCGGCGGACGGGUGAGUAAUGUCUGGGAAACUGCCUGAUGGAGGGGGAUAACUACUGGAAACGGUAGCUAAUACCGCAUACCAUCAGAUGUGCCCAUAUGGGAUUAGCUAGUAGGUGGGGUAAUGGCUCACCUAGGCGACGAUCCCUAGCUGGUCUGAGAGGAUGACCAGCCACACUGGAACUGAGACACGGGCCAGACUCCGACGGGAGGCAGCAGUGGGGAAUAUUGCACAAUGGGCGCAAGCCUGAUGCAGCCAUGCCGCGUGUGUGAAGAAGGCCUUCGGGUUGUAAAGCACUUUCAGCGGGGAGGCGUUACCCGCAGAAGAAGCACCGGCUAACUCCGUGCCAGCAGCCGCGGUAAUAC
rnacentral:rRNA from 1 species